UCACAUCACAACAUAUGAAUGAGAAAGGAAGGGGUGAUAGAUGAAUAAGGAAGGAAAGGGUGAUGGCAAAUUUGAUUGUGGGAUGAUGGAAAUACUAUGGUGCAAAAAAAAUCAAAGUUUCAAUUGUGUGUAUACGUGUAUGCAUGU